GGCCGCGAAAACGGGCUAAGUCCAAGCGCGUGGAAAGACACCGAGGCUGCUACGUAGGUCUCGGUUGAAGGGCACGGUGGAACGGAGGGAAAACGGGAGGAGACGCAAGGCAACGGGCGGCAGGGCUGUUCGGCCUUGCGUUUCGGGUGAAAACGAGGGGUUCGCCAUGGCGAACGGGCCAAAAACGGAUUUUCGGCCACGGCCGCGAAAACGGGCACGUGGAAGGGCACGGGACCCUCCCGUGGUCCCCCCGCGUGAGACGUGGAAGUUCGGGUGCACCCGUGAGGGAAAACGGGUCACGCUAGCGAAACCCCUGAUUCUGAGCAAAAACGCUGUGUCCAGCCAUCUUAGAUGGGUUUCGUGGGGUACUGGGAAAAUGCCCUGGUUUUCUGAAGAGCAGAACUCCCCGAAGUCCUGGGAGGGGGUAUGCCCCUCAGGUAUAGUAGGGGGUAGGGAACUCGUGCAGCCGAAACCCGGGCGAAACGCUGCUGAAACCAUAGCGUUUCCAGCGUCUCCUCCAGGUCUCCUCGGCCGAGCCCCGCACCCCCUCGCGGCCUAGCCGUGGUCGGUCGGCACCCUACCGCGCCCAGCUCCGGCUGGCGCUGUUGGCUGCCUGGCCGGCCCUGGUUCGGCCGUGAAGCAGCCAACACCGGCUAUGGCUGGCUACCGCCAGCCAGACGCCCUGGACGAGUGGCUGCACCGUGGGAUGACCCGUUGCUCGAUGCGUUUUCCGUUUCUCCCGCGCUCGGUGGACCUUCGGUCGCCGUCCUCGCAAGCAGACCCGCCGCGCCCAGCGCGGAGGGAUGCUUUGGAUGGCUCGAUCGUAGCGGCUACGCUGGCGCAUGAGUUGUCUUGGACCCGUGACUGCUUGGAGGACCCCCGCUGCCGUGCGGCCGACUCCCGGCGCCCGUGUCCCAUCGCUCGUGCGGGCAUCCCGUGCCUGCUGCGUUGAGAAGUGCUUGCGUGCUGCUACCCGUCCCACGGGAAGCCGUGCUCGAUACACGUUGCCUUCGUCGAGCUCACCCCCCGGGGUGCGGCUCGUCGGCUCGAGAACGCCCACGCGUUUGCAUCGUGCCGCGUCAGCCUAUGGCCGGCGGCACCGAGGACACCUCGCUGGCGCUUUUGGUCUCGGAUGUGGCUCACGCUGAAGGCCGGAGACGCGUUGGCGUCACGCGCCCAAGAAUCGGUCCGCCCGAACGAACGACGGCCAACCCGGCACGACGCCUCCGCGCGUAGGCCGGCGCUGGCCCGUCUGCGAGGACGUGC
rnacentral:misc_RNA from 1 species